GAUGAACGCUGGCGGCGUGCCUAAUACAUGCAAGUCGAGCGAACGGACGAGAAGCUUGCUUCUCUGAUGUUAGCGGCGGACGGGUGAGUAACACGUGGAUAACCUACCUAUAAGACUGGGAUAACUUCGGGAAACCGGAGCUAAUACCGGAUGAUAUUUUGAACCGCAUGGUUCAAAAGUGAAAGACGAUCUUGCUGUCACUUAUAGAUGGAUCCGCGCUGCAUUAGCUAGUUGGUAAGGUAACGGCUUACCAAGGCAACGAUGCAUAGCCGACCUGAGAGGGUGAUCGGCCACACUGGAACUGAGACACGGUCCAGACUCCUACGGGAGGCAGCAGUAGGGAAUCUUCCGCAAUGGGCGAAAGCCUGACGGAGCAACGCCGCGUGAGUGAUGAAGGUCUUCGGAUCGUAAAACUCUGUUAUUAGGGAAGAACAUAUGUGUAAGUAACUGUGCACACCUUGACGGUACCUAAUCAGAAAGCCACGGCUAACUACGUG
rnacentral:rRNA from 1 species